CCCUUAGAUGUUCUGGGCUGCACGCGCGCUACACUGAUGCGUUCAACAAGUGUUAACCUUGCCCGAUAGGGUUGGGUAAUCUUUUGAAAGCGCAUCGUGAUGGGGAUCGAUGACUGCAAUUGUUCAUCUUCAACGAGGAAUUCCUAGUAAGCGCAAGUCAUCAGCUUGCACUGAUUACGUCCCUGCCCUUUGUACACACCGCCCGUCGCCCCUACCGAUUGAGUGAUCCGGUGAAUAGUUCGGAUCGUGCAGGUUGCCUUCGGGUGCUUGUAUGAGAAGUUCAGUAAACCUUAUCACUUAGAGGAAGGAGAAGUCGUAACA
rnacentral:rRNA from 1 species